GGGCAGCCUGUAGAGAUCUGGAGAAGCCGACUGAUGAAAUUAUACGAAGGUCAAUCCAUUGUCGAUUCUGAAACUGAUCUGCGUAAAUGUCUUCAAAGUAGCUUAGACGCCCUAAAUGACGAGGAUGUUAUGCAGAAGGAGUGUUUUAUGGACUUCACCAGGAAUGAUGCAAGCGAGAUUGAUGGAUGCUACAGCGGUGCCUUUGUGAUGUAGCAUGCCUUUUUUGCACUUUCCCUUAUUUCCUCUCAAGUUUGCUUUCUUCCUCUGGGUUUUCCUCUCUAUUUCUUCAUAUUUACAGUGUGCUAUUUUUUUUUUUUUUAAAUUUCAAAUAAAUUUUAAUAAACACUAAUAAUUAAAUAUAAAGAAUUGAAUUAUUAAGUUGUCUGUUUGAAUACUUCUUAUUUUUUAUUUAAAAAAAUAUAAAAUGAUAAUAGCUCCAUAUAAAAGGGAAGAAUUUUUUGAGACUUGACUUUAAAAAAUUUAACACUUACAAUAUUCUAUAUAGAUGUUACAAUUAUUUUUUUUACUUUUAUAACUAAAAAUAAAUUUUUUUAUUUUAAAAAUAAAAAAUAAUAGUACUUUCUAUAUAAAACAGAGGAAUUUUAGUAACAUAAAAGAUUAAAAAAUUCAAGCUAUUGAAUUUUUUUUAUUAUAGUAAAUUUUAAGGCUUGAAAAUGUAAUUUUUAAAGGUAUAUGAUAAUUUUUGUAUAAAAAAUCCUUCUUUUUAUUUUAAAAAUAAAAGUAAAAAACGAAAAGUAAGAUUCUAUUUGAAAAGUGUUUUUAAAUGUUUUAUGAUUUUUUUUUAAAACAAAAGUUGAGAAUUUGAAAUAUUUUUAAUUUAUUUUUUAUGUUUUUAAAUAUAUUAUAAAGAUAAUUUUAAUAUGUUGAAUUCCGUACAUUUUCUUUGGACUAAAAGUCUAGAAAAGUUAUGAAUUAGAAUAAAUAUAGAUAAUUUUUUAUAUUUUAGAAAUGGUGUUGGUGGUAUCAUUCAAUAAAAUAAAUAAUUAUUAAUAUUAAUUAUAAAAGGAAAGAAGAAUUUAUAACAUAUCAAAUUAAUUAACAAAAAUAUUUAAAAUGUUGAAAAGAGAGUUUUUGAUUUUAUUAAAAAGUUUAUCAGAAAAUUCAAAUAAUAUUUGUAAUUUUUUUAAAAAAAAAAUAGUAAAAAAAAAUCUUGUUAAAACAUUUUUAAUAAUUUUCAAAAAUGUUUUUUGUAGAGAAAAUUUUAAAAUAAUUUAUAAUUUCACUAAUAAAUUUAUUAGAUUUUUUUUUUGAAAUAACUAAGGCUUGAUAGUUAUAAAAUUUUAAUUUAAAAGUUGUGAAUGAAUAUAAAGUUAUUGUUAAAACUUAAGAUAAAAAAUAUAUUUGAUAAAAUAUCAAAUAUUUAAAUAAAAUUAAAAUUUAUCAAUAAUUAAAUAAUAUAUAUUGAAUAAUGUGUAAUUAUUUUCAAAUUAGCAAAUAUUUUAUUAAACAUAAAAGUCAAAACAUUUAAAAAAUAUCAAAAUCAAACAAAACCAACAAAAACAUAUUAUUAAAUAAAAAAAUUAUAAAAAAUUUAUUUUAUAAUAAAUUUAAUUUUAUAAAUAUUAAAUAAAAUUUUAAAAAACAUUUUAUAAAAUCUAUUUGAUAUUCAUACUUAUCUAAUUUUUUUUUACACACAAAAUUAAUUUCUUAGAGGGGCAAAUUUGCAUUUUUACUUUUUUUUUUUAAUAUUAUAAAAUUUCUAAAUAAAUAUAAGAAAAGUUUUAUUUUUUGAAAAUUUGAGGGAGUAAUGUGUCAUUGUGUCCCCCACUAAGAGUAUGGCGUCCGCCCCUCAUAAGUUGUACGGAUAAUGCAUACUAGAAGUCUAGAAUAUUGAUUUAAGGAAGAGCAUGAGUGAAGCAGUAGGUAAAGGGUUUGCCUUCUCAUUUCUCAAGUCUGCAUAAAGUCCACCACAGUGGAUUCCCAAAAUUUCCAUGAAGUACAGUGGAAACUCCUUGGCUACCUUCAAGUUCCAGAGCUCACUAGCCAAAACACAGUAGGAGAAGGGAGAAACCAACGUCUGAUUUCGAAUCUGUAUGUUGUAAUAUUGUUUUGUUUUGAGGGGAAUUUAAAACUAGGGCUUAGAUUGGAUCUUGUUUUCUAUUCAAGUAUCUUGAUUUCUUCUGUUUCCUACAACUUUUCUCCUCUAGCAAACACAAAACUCCUUCUAAUUUUGGGGGUUGUGGUGAGGAGAUACUGAUGGCUUUGGAGCUUGUUGGAGGGGCUGCGUUGGGAGCAGUGUUUGAGAAGUUGUUCGCGGCGGUUGAAGAUGCAAGGACUAAGGCAACCAAGUUCUACUCCAGCCUCAAAAAACUCGAAGAGACACUCAAAUCCAUAAAUCCAAGUAUCCUAGAGAUGAAAAGGAUGAACGACCAGUUGGAUCGUCCAAAGGAGGAAAUGGAGAAGUUGAUCCAAAUCUUAAAAGAUGGGGAGAAGCUAAUCCACAAGUGCUCCAAGGUCUCUUGUCGCAACUACUUCAAGAAGUGGAGGUACGCCAAUGAAAUCGAGGCCUUGGAGGACUCUCUUCGUAAAAUUUUUCAGGUGGAAUUGCAAGCCCAACUCAGUAGGAACAACAUGCAGAUUCUGGUCCUGCUCAAAUCAAAUAGAUUCAGUUGGAGUAACAAAGGGGUUUCCGUUAAAUAUGAAAGUUUGGGUUCCUGUGAGGCUACUGAUCCGCCGGCUUUUAUGGUGGGACUAGAUGUGCCUCUCAAAGAAUUGAAGAGGUGGCUGUUUACGGAUGGGGAAUCAAGGAUUGUGGUGUCGGCUCCUGGAGGAUGUGGGAAAACCACUUUGGCUAAAAGGCUUUGUCACGACCAACAAGUCAAGGGUAUUCCUACAAAAUCUUGCUUUCUUUUCUUUCCUUCAUGUUAGUAAACCAAAUACGAAAUAUUCCAUGCUAUACAAGUGAAAUUCAUCCAAACAACUUCUUUUUUGGUCUAAUGAAAUAUUGUAUGAGCUCAUUGCUAAAUCACUUCUUUCUACCAUUUUGAACAGAAUAUUUUCAGCACAUUUUCUAUGUCACGGUGUCAAAAACAUUCAACCUAAUUGGCAUCAUCAAGAAACUAUUUUGGCAUAGUGAUGAACAAGUGCCGGGGUUUCAAAAUGAGGAAGAUGCAGUCAACCAAUUGGAACUAAUGCUGAAGAGGAAAGUAGAAUCUGGUCGUAUACUGUUGGUCCUAGAUGACGUUUGGUCUGGGUCGGAAUCUUUCCUAACCAAGUUUAACUUCCAAAUAUCGGGAUGCAAGGUUCUGAUUACAUCUAGAAAUGAAUUUCCAAAAUUUGGUUCUACAUAUAACUUGAAAUUGUUGAGUGAAGAAGAUGCCAAGACUCUUUUCCGUCACUCAGCAAUCCCUGAGGAUGGGAGUGGUUCUUCCAUGCCCGGUGAAGACCUUGUAAAUACGGUGGUUUCUCACUCUACAUUAAUUUAUCACACCUGCAUUCAUUUUUGUUUCCCUGCAAACCAGAACUAAUCUUAUUUGGUGCUGGCGCUGAACUGCAGAUAGUGAGGCGCUGCAAGGGAUUUCCACUGGCCCUGGAAGUGGUUGGCAGAUCGCUCCAUGGGCAGCCUGUAGAGAUCUGGAGAAGCACACUGAUGAAAUUAUCUGAAGGUGAAUCCAUUGUCAAUUCUGAAGAUGAGCUGCGUAAUUGUCUUCAGAGUAGCUUAGAUGCCCUUGCUGACAAGGAUAUUAUGCUGAAGGAGUGUUUUAUGGACUUGGGCUCAUUUCCUGAAGACCAAAAAAUCCCUGCCACUGCUCUUAUAGAUAUGUGGGCGGAAUUGCACAAACUAGAUAAAGACGGCAUUUAUGCCGUUAUCAACCUUCAGAAUCUCUGCUCUCAGAAUCUGCUUAAUCUUGUGGUCACAAGGUACACAGGCUUGCUAUUUGUCUUUAAAGUAAUAACCUUUUUUCCUUUUUCUCUUGAUAAUCUUAUAAUUUUGUGUAUCAGCAUUUUAUACAAUUAGUAAUGUUCUAUUACAAUCACUAAGAGAAAAGAAAUCUAUUAACGCUAGCAUUGAAGGGGGAACUCCUGCUAAUUUCUGCAAUUUUUACCCCAUUUGUUUUGGAGGUGGUCAAAUCAAAUGAGCACAAAAACAAAAUAAGACUUAUAUUUCUUGAUUUGCAAUUAUAUUCUUCAAUCCAUAAUAUCACUCUAACCAAUGUCUGCGGGUUGUCCAGGAAUGAUGCAAAUGAGAUUGGUUGGUGCUACAAGGAUGCCUUUGUCAUGCAGCAUGAUCUUCUCAGGGAUCUAGCCAUUUAUCAGAGCAACCAGGAGCCCAUAGAAAAGAGGAAAAGACUAAUCGUGGACUUGACAGGAAACAGACUCCCCGAGUGGUGGACUAAAGAAAAUCAGCCCCAAUUAAGUGCUCGUCUUGUGUCCAUCUCCACAGGUCCCCCCUCUCUCUCUCUUUCUAUCUCUCAUAAUUGGAAUCUAAUAUUUCAUACAGUAUUUGGCAUUACUUCUUUCCCUACCUUCUGACACUUUAUAGGAUAUUCUGUAGAUGAAAUGUUCUCCUCAAACUGGUGCAACAUGCAACUUCCUGAAGCUGAGGCUCUAAUACUGAACUUUAAUCAGACAGAAAAUAAAUACGAAUUGCCAGAGUUCAUGAAGCAAAUGGAUAAACUGAAGGUUCUAGUAGUAACAAAUUAUGGUUUCUGUGCUGCUGAAUUGACUAAUUUUUCAGUACUUGGUUCCUUAUCCAAUCUAAAGAGAAUCAGGUUAGAGCAAGUUUCAAUUCCAAGACUAUGCAACACGAGUAUGGAAUUGAAGAAUCUGGAAAAGCUAUCCUUAGUCAUGUGUCAUAAGAUUGGUCAGGCUUUUGCAAGUAGUACCAUCCAGAUCCCAGAAAUGUUACCAAACCUUAGGGAAAUCAACAUUGAUUACUGUAAUGACUUGGUGGAAUUACCAGAAGGGUUUUGUGACUUAGUCCAGCUGAAUAAGCUGAGCAUCAGCAACUGCCAUAAGCUGUCUGCACUGCCGGAAGGGAUAGGGAAGCUUGCAAAUCUGGAAGUGCUAAGGGUUAGUGCCUGUACAUUGGUGUCAAAAUUGCCAGACUCAAUGGGAAGCCUCCACAAGUUGAGCGUUCUUGAUAUAACUGGUUGUUUACGAAUAAGGAAAAUGCCGAAACAAAUAGGGGAGUUGCGUGGUCUAAGAGAGCUCCACAUGAGAAGGUGCCCAGGUUUGCGCGAGCUGCCACCAUCAGUGACGCUUCUCGUGGAUUUGGAGAGGGUAAUCUGCGAUGAAGAGACUGCCCAGCUGUGGGAAUGUUAUACGCACUUGCUCCCCAAUCUCACCCUAUCAGUGCCUGAAGAAAUUAUCAACUUGAAUUGGCUUUAAAAUACUGGUUUCUGAAAAACUUUCAUCCUCCAAAGUGUUGAACCGGACGCCUAAUUAUAUUCAAACAAUGUUCGACUUAUGAAAUCUAGUAACUUUCAUCGGCUGUUUGUCAUAUUUGGUUCGGGCUUCAAUCAAGGAAUGCAUUUUCCUGCACCCCGUCCUCAGUGCCAACUUUUGUUCACAUUAAGGGAAAUUUCGUGUGAACUUUUUUCACACUAAAAUUGAAUCCGGCUGGAGAUUGAUUGGUUUAAAGCGGGACUUGAUAUUGAUUAGGGUUGGCCAAGGCGCAGGCUUGUAUUGACCUAUGAAGUUCACUGACCACAAAGAUCGAAAAUGGAUUCGUUUGCAUUUCUUAACUUGGAAAUUCCUAUUACAGCAAGGCAUAUCAAAACCGCCUAGAAGAGGGGGAGUCUCCUAACAAUCAUUCCCCCUAUUUAGAAUUUUUUGUUUUUAUUUUUUCUAUCAAUUCUUUUACUAAGUGAUGUUUGUUUUUUUGACUUUUUGUUGAAAGUAAUUUAGUUUUACAAUUUAGGUUGUUUGUUUUUUUACUUUUUCAUAACUUAUUAUAAACUUUUUACUAAAUAGAAAAAAUUAAAAUAUGUAACUUUUUUCAAAUAGAAAAAAUAAUAUAUUGAUUUUUUUUAUUUUUUAAUACUUAAUAGAAAUAAAAUACUAUAAAAACAAAUAACCUAAUAUUUAACACUAUUAAAUAUUAAUGUUCUAUUUAGAAUUAAGUAAAAAAACAAACACCACCUAAAUAUUUCUUACAUACAUAACACUCUAUCAAUAAGUAAAAUAAAUGCGAAUCACGUAUUAAUGGAACAACAUUUUCCAAUCAAGAAUUAUAUUAAUGUUGGACUACACAAUUCACAAACUUAAAUAUUCUUUACUUUUGAUAAAAACAAAAUUGGAAAUUACCCAUCUUUUUCAAGGAAUAUACAAUCAAACUUUAGCUCAAAUUCUUUAUACAUAUACUUAUUAAAAUAUGAUAAUUUUUUUAGCAAAGAUAAAUACAAAGAAAAUGAACUAAUGAAGAGAUAGAAAAUAAAGUAAUGACACCAAAAUUUAAUAUGACAAAAUAUCAAUAAAGAUAAAAAACUAUAGGCCUACAAGAAAUCAAGAACAUCUACUACGAAGAAAAACUAACCCAGUACAAGGUUUUAUUUAAUUCAAGUCUACAUAUCCUGCUUGAACUACUUGAUCAACAUCUUCCAACUUCAACUUCACACCUUCUUCUUCUAAAACAUACUUGGAGUCCACACUAAACUCAAUCUUAAUUUUUUCUUGAAUCUUUAGAAGAAGAAAAUAGGUUAUCAUUCAAACCCAAAUCAACAAGAACACAAGAGAUGAAUGGAAGAAAUUAAUCAACCAUUUUUCAAAAAACUGACUUGGAAAUCAAAGGAGAAUUUUCUUGGCAACCAAACACUUCCAAUUUGGAUUAGACCUCAAAGGGAGUGAGAAAAAUAGUUGUUGGUGUUCUCCACUCCCUAAAAUAGAAAUAUUUAUUUAAAUAAGUUGAAGUAUUCCUGAUCCAAUGACUGAAGAAUGAUUCAACAAAAAAUAAAUUGAUCCUACAUAAAUUUGGAUCGAUCUUGGAACAUGGCACAAAAAUACUUAUCCAAAAAAAUGUUUGCCCAAGUCUCCCAAAGCUUCUUUAAAAGAUUUUCAUUAAUUUGAAAAACUUUGUUGGUUUAAUUUCAUCCAUAUCACAACCCCGACUACAUACCUUAACCUCUAAACACUUACAAUAACUAGUUCAAUGAAGGAUUUGAUAGACCUGGGAGAAUACUUAGAAGUUUUCACCUAAAAUUGUCAAUCUAAGUAAAACAAUCACAUGUAUGUUAAGAGAUUUUCAUCCUUAAGGUUUAUAUAUUUUCGUUUAGAUUUUAUUUUAUUUGAUCCUUUGUGUUACAAAACAAUUAUUUGUAAUGGUCUUAUUUCAAAAUUAGAUAAAUGAUUGAAUAGGAAACAUUAUUCAUUGAUGGUUUAAUGGUUAGAUCAUUGUUUGAAUCACAAUCAAAAGAAUAUAUAUAAUCUAAUUUUUUUUAAUAAUAUUUCAUUUUUAUAUUAGAUGUUGUUAAAUUAAAUGAUAAAAAUAAAGUAAAUGCAUUAAUAUUUUUAAUUUUAUUAAAUAAAACAUGUAUGAUAUUUAAGUGUAAAAAUAUAUUUAAGAUGAAAGAAAAGUUAUAAUUUUUAAUUUUAUCUACAUUUCAAAAGUUAUAUAUCUUAUUAUUUUAUAAUUUUUAGAAAUUAGUUUAUUAUUUAACUUAUAUUAUUUUCAUACUUACCAUUAUAAAAUUAAAUGUGAAGGUAAAUAUUUAUGUUUGUUUAUAUAUAUAGCGUAUGUAUGUGUGUGUAUUAUAUUUUAUAGCAAUAUCUAAUAAAGUGAUCUCAUAGUUCAAUGGUUCAAUUAUCUCGUGGCUCGAGUCUUGCUAACGCAAAAAAAAAGAAAAAAAAUUCGCACCUUAUAAGCAAUCUCAUGCAUAAGAUUAUGAAAUUGAUAGGUUGUAUAGACACAUUACAACAAAUAUAAGCAGUGGUAGGUUGCUAGCAUUAUUGGGCCAAAAGGUGCAAUUACACAUUAUCAUUUUGGGUCAAAUAAGACUUGAUUGAUUCUUAGAGAACAGACCAAUCUGUCUAGUUCGAACAAUUUAACACUACUUUAACUCAUAAGCUACUCAAUUAAGCUAAUCGAAUUGGAUAGGUCAACGGUCUAGUCGUUUCAGUGCAAUUUUUAAAACCUUAAUAUGCACGAAUAACUUUUAAUCUCUAUUUGAGAAAAAUAGAAUAUCAUGUUAAUUUCAUGACUUCUGAAUUCAAUGGGAUGUUGUGGUUCAAACAUAUUACGAUGGUAAUGAUGCUUCUCGUAUUUAUAAACUUAUUGUUAGGAUUAUGUGUAAAUGAAUAUAAGAAAGCAAAUAUAAUGGAGGAGCAAUUGCAUAUAAAAGUAGAUAGAGAUAACGAAUAGAAAAAUGCAAGCAUGGGCCUUUAUAGUAGUUUAAUGCAACCCAACCUGCAUCCACUCUCCUCAAGCUUCAACAUUAAGUGUUCCGCUAACAAUACUUCCAACCAAAGCCUUCAAGUUUUGCCCUUGGAUUGUGGCUUUAAGGGAUCCUUUAUGACCAUAAGCCUUUUAAAACCAAAGUCUCCAAACUAUCUCCCUUGGAUUAUGGUUCCAAUGAACCCUCUCAAAAGAUACCCUACUCUUGAGUCCUCCAAUGAUCCUACAAUAGAUAUCCUCACAAGGUAUACAAAUGAAACAUAAAUAAGAUCCUAGUUAAUAGUUUUGGCUUAAAUUGGAUACAAAAAAACUAGGAUUGAGAGGUUUCCUAAGACGAAAUGUAAGUUUUGAAGCAAAAUGCAAUCAAACACAUAACUCCUCAUUCAAUACAAGAAGUUUAGGGCCUUUAAACAUGGGUUAGAAGCCUAAACUUGUCGUUGGAAAAAUUUGGGGUUGAUUGAUCAUCCAACUAGUUAAAUCUUACUACUAGCCAUUGAAGAAUUGUAGGUGAUCAUUAGGUCAUAGGAGUUUAACCAGUUAAUCUACCAAUUCAAUCCAUCCUUGACUAAUUGAGGCUCAAACUUAAUCAAUUAAAAUUGCUUUCUAGACCUUAGGAGGACAUUUGGCCCCCUUGACGAGUUGAACCAUUCCGACUCAACCAAUUCCUAUAUAUCUCAAUCGAUUUGAUGAAAAUGCAAGUUUUGAUAUCAAAAUGAGGUUGAGAAACAACAAUUAUUAACUUCCAUUUGUUGGGAUUUUUAAACAAAAUUUCGAAGAAGCUAUAAUAUUAUUUAAAAGCACUAACUACAAUUUGGAAUUAAUGGAAAUUAUACAAAAAUAAAAUAAAAUUAAAACUUGAAAAUAUGAGAAAUUUGAGGAGAAUACUAAGAGUGUGAGGUUUGUACCCUCCUAAUUUUGUACUUUUGUGAAUUUUUUUUUUAAAAUUCUACUUGCAAUAGCUAUAAUAUUAUAUAAAAAUACUAGUUACACUUAAGAUUAAUGGAAAUUAUGCACACAAAAAUUAAAACUUAAAAAUACUUAAAAAUUGAGAAGGGCAUGAAAAAUGUGAAAAUUUUCACUUUUUGGAAAUUUUAAAAUUCUUUUCCAUUUCCAAUAAUAUUAUUUAAAAAACUAAUCACACUUACAAUUGAUGAAAUUAUGCACAAAAAUUUAAAAUUUGGAAAUACUUAAAAAUUGGGGAAGCUUCAUGCCCUCUAAAUUUUGUAAUUUUUUUAAUUUGAUUUUUUUUUUCACUUCAAAUGGCUAUGAUAUUAUUUAUGCACACUAAUUACGCUUAACAUUGAUGGAAUUUAUGAAAAUAAAUUAAAAGGUUAAAAUACUUAGAAGUUCAUUAGGGCAUGAAAAAUGUGGAGAAUCCUCUUUUAAUUUUAAUUUCCAAAAUUUUCAACUUUUUUAAUUAAUUUUUUUUCCACUUCUAGUAGCUCUAAUAUUACUUAGGCAUCCUAAUCACAAUGAUCAUAACUUUUUCACUUGGUACUUUUUAUACCCUUCAAAUUUUACAUGUUUGUCUUAUUUAAAAAAAAAAAAUUCUUCAAAAAAUACUUUCAAUAUUUCAUCCAAUAUUCUCCAUAAAAAAUGGAAAUUAUAAUAAAAAAAUUUAAUAAUAUAAUUUUCGGUUAUUAUUUGAUAGAUUACCAAUUUAAUUUUUUAACAAUAAACAUUUAUUUUAAUUUAUUUAUAAAUGAUUUUUUUUCACAAAGUCUUAAUGUUAUAAUUUUAUACCAUAUAAUUAGUAGCAACUUUGAUUUUCUUACACAAAAUUUUUAUUUUUACAAAACUUUAAUUUGUUUACAACUUUUAUAAAAGUACUUAUUAAAUGAUAUAAUUGGAUGUUGCAAACAUAUCUUAAAUGUUAUGUGCAUGGAAUUCGUACCAUCUGGUUGGAGGUAUCAGGUAUGGUCAUAAAAAGUACAUCUGAGUUAUGACCCACAUGGAAAUGUUAUGGUAAUAAAAACUACAUUAAGGGUUUUUUUCCCCAAUUUGUUGUAGAUGUCAAAAAAUAAAUAAAUAAAUAAAAUAAAAUAAAAAAGCCAGCCAUCAACGGCUCCAUAGUCUCUCGAGGCAUUGUAAGCAGCAUUGAGCGUUCACAUUAGAGAGAGAAACAAAAUAUGAGGAAAAACCUUCAUAAUUUAUUCAUUUGUCAAUGGAGCCUACACAAGUCAAUGGAUUCCCAAAAUUUGGACGAAGAAAAGUGGAAACUUCGUGUGUACCUUCAGGCUCAAGAUGCGUCAUUUCUGGUCACUCACUCUCCAAAACACGCAAAGAAAAGGGGGGAAAGCAGAGUGUGGUUUCGAAGCUGUUAUGUCGCACCGAGUAAUGAUCUUGUGAGGAAGGGGGUUUGUCACUCUACAUUAAUAUAUCGCACCUGCAUCUAUACUUCAUCUAUAUGCAUUCAUUUUUGUUUCUCUCCAAACCACAAGUGAUUUCAUUUGUUAGUUCUGGUGCUCAGGCGCUCAACCGCAGAUAGUGAGACACUGCAAGAGACUUCCACUGGCCCUGGAAGUGGUUGGCAGAUCACUCCAUGGGCAGCCUGUAGAGGUCUGGAGAAGCCGACUGAUGAAACUAUCUGAAGGUCAAUCCGUUGUCGAUUCUGAAGCUGAUCUGCGUAAAUGUCUCCAGAGUAGCUUAGACGCCCUAAAUGACGAGGAUGUUAUGCUGAAGGAGUGUUUUAUGGACUUGGGCUCCUUUCCUCAAGACCAGAAAAUCCCUGCCACUGCUCUUAUAGAUAAAGAUGGGGUUGAUGCCAUUGCCAACCUUCAAAAACUCUCCUCCUGGAGUCUGCUUAAUCUUGUGGUCACGAGGUACACAGACUUGCUAUUUGUAUUUAAAUUAAAUGAUCGUUUUUCUUGUAAUUAGUUUGUUCACAGAAUGGUAUCCCAUAAAUAAUCUAAUAAUUUUGUCUAUCAACACUAGCAUGGGAGGGCUCCAAGUUCCAACUGCUUUUUUUUUUUUUUUUUUUCAAUUUCAAAUAAGUUUUAAUAAGCACUAAUAAUUAAAGACAAAGAAUUGAAUUAUUAAGUUGUCUUUUUGAAUACUUCUUAUUUUUUAUUUUUAAAAAUAAAAAAUGAUAAUAGCUCCACAAAAAAGGGGAGAAUUUUUUUAGACUUAAGACUUCAAAAAAACAAUAAUUUCAAAAGCUACUUUAAGACUUAUAAUAUUCUAUAAAGAUGUUACAACUAUUUUUUACUUUUAUAACAAAAAACGGAGAUUUUUUUUAUUUUAAAAAUAAAAAAUAAUAGUACUUUCUACAUAAAACAGAGGAAUUUUUAGAAACAUAAAAGAUUAAAAAAUUCAAGCUAUUGAAUUUUUUUUUAUUAUAUUAAAUUUUAAGGUUUGGAAGGGUAAUUUUUAAAGGUAUAUAUGGUAAGUUUUUGUAUAAAAAUUCCUUCUUUUUAUUUAAAAAAAUAAAAACAGAAAAUGGAAAUAAGAAGAUAAAGGCAAACUACAGCGUUUGCCUUCUCGUUUCUCAAGUCGACGUAAAGUCAAUCACAGCAGAUACCCGAAAUUUCCAUGAAGUACAGUGGAAACUCCUUGGCUACCUUCAAGUUCCAGAGCUCACUAGCCAAAACACAGUAGGAGAAGGGAGAAACCAACGUCUGAUUUCGAAUCUAUAUGUUGUAAUAUUGUUUUGUUUUGAGGGGAAUUUAAAACUAGGACUCAGAUUGGCUCUUAUUUUCUAUUCAAGUAUCUUGAUUUCUUUUCUGUUUCCUACAACUUUUCUCAGCUAGCAAACACAAAACUCCUUAUUUUGGGGGUUGUGGUGAGGAGAUACUGAUGUCUGCGGAGCUUGUUGGAGGGUCUGCUUUGGGAGCAGGAUUUGGGAAGUUGAUCACGGCGGUUCUAGAUGCACGGAAGAAGAUAACUCAGUUCGACUCCAGCCUCAAAAAACUCGAAGAGAGACUCAAUUCCAUAACUCCAAGUAUCGUAGAGGUGAAAAAGUUCAUGGACCAGUCGAAUCAUCCAAGGGUGGAAUUGGAGAAGUUAAUCCAAAUCUUAAAAGAUGGGGAGAAGCUAAUCCACAAGUGCUCCGAGGUCUCUAGUUGCGACUACUUCAAUAAUUGGAGGUACGCCAAUAAAAUUAAGGCCUUGGAUGGCUCAAUUGAAAAAAAUUUUCAGGUGGAAAUGCAAGUCAUACAACUUUGGAGCACCACGGUCCUGCCCAAAUCAAAUAGAUUGAGUUUGAGUAACAGAGGGGUUUCCGAUAACUAUGAAAGUUUGGGUUCCUGUGAGGCUACUGAUCCGCCGGCUUUUAUGGUGGGACUAGAUGUGCCUCUCAAAGAAUUGAAGAGGCGGCUGUUUACGGAUGGGGAAUCAAGGAUUGUGGUGUCGGCUCCUGGAGGAUGUGGGAAAACCACUUUGGCUAAAAGGCUUUGUCACGACCAACAAGUCAAGGGUAUUCCUACAAAAUCUUGCUUUCUUUUCUUUCCCUUCAUGUUAGUAAACCAAAUAUGAAAUAUUCCAUGGUAUACAAGUGAAAUUCAUCCAAAAAUCUUUUUUGGUCUAAUGAAAUAUUGUAUGAACUCAUUGCUAAAUCACUUCUUUCUACCAUUUUGAACAGAAUAUUUUACGGACAUUUGCUAUGUCACGGUAUCAAAAACAUGCGACCUAAUUGGCAUCAUCAAGAAACUAUUUUGGCAUAAUGCUGAACGAGUGCAGGGGUUUCAAAGUGAGGAAGAUGCAGUCAACCAAUUGGAACUAAUGCUGAAGAGGAAAGUAGAAUCUGGUCGUAUACUGUUGGUCCUAGAUGACGUUUGGUCUGGGUCGAAAUCUGUCCCAGACAAGUUUAAGUUCCAAAUAUCGAAAUUCAAGGUUCUGGUUACAUCUAGAAAUGAAUUUCCAGGAUUUGGUUCUACAUAUAACUUGAAAUUGUUGAGUGAAGAAGAUGCCAAGACUCUUUUUUGUCACUCAGCAAUCCCUGAGGAUGGGAGCCGUUCUUCCAUGCCCAGUGAAGAACUUGUGAAUGGGGUGGUUUCUCACCCUACAUUAAUUUAUCACACCUGCAUUCCUUUUUGUUUCCCUGCAAACCAGAACUAAUUUUAUUUGGUGCUGGUGCUGAACUGCAGAUAGUGAGGCGCUGCAAGGGAUUUCCACUGGCCCUGGAAGUGGUUGGCAGAUCCCUCCAUGAGCAGCCUGUAGAGAUCUGGAGAAGCACACUGAUGAAAUUAUCUGAAGGUGAAUCCAUUGUCAAUUCUGAAGAUGAACUGCGUAAUUGUCUUCAAAGUAGCUUAGAUGCCCUUGAUGACAAGGAUAUUAUGCUGAAGGAGUGUUUUAUGGACUUGGGUUCAUUUCCUGAAGACCAAAAAAUCCCUGCCACUGCUCUUAUAGAUAUGUGGGCGGAAUUGCACAAUCUAGAUAAAGGCGGCAUUUAUGCCAUUUCCAACCUUCACAAACUCUGCUCUCGGAAUCUGCUUAAUCUUGUGGUCACAAGGUACACAGGCUUGCUAUUUGUCUUUAAAGCAGUAACUUUUUGUCUUUUUUGUCUUUAUAAUCUUAUAAUUUAGUCUACAUUUUAUGCAAUUAGUAAUGUUCUAUUACAAUCGCUAUAGAGAAAAGAAAUCUAUUAACGCUAGCAUUGAAGGGGGAUUCCAACUCCUGCUAAUUUCUGCAAUUUUUACCCCAUUUGUUUUGGAGAUGGUCAAAUCACAUGAGCACAAAAAUAAAAUAAGACUUAUAUUUCUUGAUUUGCAAUUAUAUUCUUCAAUCCAUAGUAUCACUCUAACCAAUUUCUGUAGGUCCUCCAGGAAUGAUGCAAAUGAGAUUGAUUGGUGCUACAAUGAUGCCUUUGUCAUGCAGCAUGAUCUUCUCAGGGAUCUAGCCAUUUAUCAGAGCGAACAGGAGCCCAUAGAAAAGAGGAAAAGACUAAUAGUGGACUUGACAGGAAACAGACUCCCCGAGUGGUGGACUAAAGAGAAGCAACCCCGAUCAAGUGCUCGUCUUGUGUCCAUCUCCACAGGUCCCCCUCUUAUCUCUUUCUAUUUCUCAUUAUUGGAAUCUAAUAUUUCAUACGGUAUUUGGCAUUACUUCUUUCCCUACCUUCUGACACUUUAUAUAGGAUAUUCUGUAGAUGAAAUGUUCUCCUCAAGCUGGUGUAGCAUGCAACUUCCUGAAGCUGAGGCUCUAAUACUGAACUUUAAUCAGACAGAAAAGAAAUACGAAUUGUCAGAGUUCAUGAAGCAAAUGGAUGAACUGAAGGUUCUAGUAGUAACAAAUUAUGGUUUCUGCACGGCUGAAUUGACUAAUUUUUCAGUACUUGGUUCCUUAUCCAAUCUAAAGAGAAUCAGGUUAGAGAAAGUUUCAAUUCCAACACUAUGCAAAACCAGUAUAGAAUUGAAGAAUCUGGAGAAGCUAUCCUUAGUUAUGUGUCAUAAGAUUGGUCUGGCUUUUGCAAGUAGUACCAUCCAGAUUCCAGAAAUGUUACCCAACCUUAGGGAAAUCAACAUUGAUUACUGUAAUGACUUGGUGGAAUUACCAGAAGGGUUUUGUGAUUUAAUCCAACUGAAUAAGCUGGGCAUCAGCAACUGCCAUAAGCUGUCUUCACUGCCGGAAGGAAUAGGGAAGCUUACAAAUCUGGAAGUGCUAAGGGUUAGUUCCUGUACAUUGGUGUCAAAAUUGCCAGACUCAAUGGGAAGCCUCCACAAGUUGAGGGUUCUUGAUAUAACUGGUUGUUUACUAAUAAGGAAAAUGCCGAAACAAAUAGGCGAGUUGCGCAGUCUAAGAGAGUUCCACAUGAGAAGGUGCCAGUGUUUGUGCGAGCUGCCAUUAUCAGUGACGGAUCUCGUGGAUUUGAAGAGGGUAAUCUGCGAUGAAGAGACUGCCCAGCUGUGGGAAUGUUUUACGCACUUGCUCCCCGAUCUCACUCUAUUAGUGCCUGAAGAAAUUAUCAACUUGAAUUGGCUUUAAAAUACUGGUUGUUGAGAUAUUAGGAAUGUUUUUCUUAUAUCAUUCUUUCCUUGUAUCAUUUAGUGUUGAGAUAUUCGAAAUGUUUAGAUAUUAGGAAAGUUGAGAUAUUAAGAAUAUUGAGAUAUUAGGAAAGUUGAGAUAUUAGGAUAUUAGUUGUUAUUUCCUUAUAUCAUUCUUUCAUUGUAUCAUUCUUUCUCAUUCUUAGAAUGGUGAUUACCCUCUAUAUAUACUCUGUACAUGAACAAAUGAAAGAAAGAAUGAAAAAACUACCAUUUAUCAAUUUGAAGAUGGUAUCAGAGCCAUGGAAUUGAAAUCCUGGAUAUUUUGUCGCUAUGGUAGUCCGACAACAGUCAACCAUCCUAAGACAAGCCCUAAUAUUAAUAAGUCAACCUUCAAAUGCACUCACUGCAAUAAGACUGAUCCCACCAGUUUGGAUAUCCCACAAUUUCAAAGCAAUGACUCUUGGUAUGACCAGGAAAACAAUGAGGAACCAAGGGUUUGAACCAUGGACCUUUAGAUCAUGUUUAGGCUAUCACCACUUUGUUAUUAAUGAUAAUAAUCGUAAUCAACGGAAGAAGGAUUCCAAGAAAACCUCGACUGCAACUGUUGCCGAAAUAAAAACAAAAGCUAAUGUUGCUAAGAAAGCCUCUGCAUUGGUAGCCGCUACAGAUUAUGGUGGUAAGUUUCUAAAUACUUUUACACCUAUUAUUAAUAGUGCAUGGAUAAUUGAUUCUGGUGCUAUAGAUCAUAUGACUUUUGAUUCCAGACAAGUUUCACCCCUUAGACCUUCUUCACAAAAAAUUGUUUUCACAGCUAAUGGUAACACAACCCCAGUCAUUGGGGAAGGAACCUUAACCCUUACUGAUACUUUGAAUUUGGAUUCUGUUUUAGUUGUUCCAUCUCUAGAUUACAAUCUUUGUCAGUUUCUCAAAUCACUACAGUCUUAUAUUGUAUUAUCAUUUUUUGGCCUGAAUUUUGUGUGAUUAAGGACAUCCAAACAAAAUAGACCAUUGGUUGUGGUAUUAAGUAGGGAAAACUCUAUUACUUGGACUUGCAGUUAAAAGAUUUAAAUAAGUUGCAACAAGCCUAGAUGGCAGAUGGAUCUGAUGAGGAGAAAAAAAAGUCUGAAAUUUGGUUGUGGCAUCGACGUCUGGGACAUGCUUCCUUUGGUUAUUUAAAAAAAUUGUUUUCUAAUUUGUUUGCAAAGAGUGAUAUUUUUUGUUUCCGUUGUGAUAUUUGUGAAUUAGCUAAAAGUCAUCGUGCUUCGUUUCCGUUAAUUUUGAAUAAAAGUCUGCUUCCUUUUAUAGUUAUACAUUCUGAUGUUUGGGGCUCAUCCAAAGUCCCAACUUUGAGUGGCUCACGUUGGUUUGUUACUUUUAUUGAUGAUUGUAUCAUAAUGACAUGGUUAUGCUUGAUGAAAACCAAAGAUGAAGUGAACUUGUUGUUUCAAAAAAUUCAUAAAAUGAUUGAAACUCGGUACAAUGCAAAUGUUCGGGUUUUACGUAGUGAUAAUGGUGGAGAAUAUUAGAGUUCUGAUCUUCAAAAGUAUUUGGAAGAACAUGACAUCAUUCAUUAGACUACUUGUUCUAAUACACCCCAGCAAAAUGGAGUCGCUAAACGGAAAAAUCGGCACUUGUUAGAGGUUGUUCGUGCUUCCUUGAUAGCAUCAAAAAUAUCGAUAUCUUAUUGGGGAGAAGCAAUCACAUCUGCCACAUACUUGAUCAAUCGGGUAUCUUCUAGCUCAAUUAACUUCCAAACACCUCUUCAAGCUCUUACUAAUGUCGUAGUUGUCCCAACCGUCCCAAAUCUACCUCCUCGUGUUUUUGGUUGCAUGGCAUUUGUGCAUCUACACAAACACCAACGCACCAAGUUAACUUCUCAUGCAUUACAAUGUGUGUUUGUUGGAUAUGCAUUGCACAAAAAGGGAUAUCGAUGUUACCAUCCUCCAACUCAACGAAUGUUUAUUACAAUGGAUGUGGUGUUUCAUGAAGAUUUGAUGUAUUUUUCAUCUAAGUCUGAACUUCAAGGGAAGUACCAUAAGGAAAUUCAGACUCUCGAUUAUGAUUAUCAUAUCUUUGAGGAGGAUGAAUCUAGACAAUCUAAACUAGUGAACCAGGAAGCGGGUGAGUUGGAUAUGAGUGGUCAACAAUUUGGGUCUGAAGAUGUCUUCACUGAAAUACCAAACCAAUCGUCGUCUGCUGAGGGUGUUCUUAAUUUGGAACCUGAUCCAUUCAUGAAACGGUUACCACACCGUCAUAAUAGAGGUAUUCCUAAACCCACAUAUGAACCUGAAUUUUCUACCAAAGUCAAAUAUCCCAUGAAUAAUUAUGUGUCUAACCAUCGUUUGUCUGAAUCAAAUAAGUCCUUUGUAAAUCAAUUAUCUACUGUGGCUAUUCCUAACAAUGUGCAAGAAGCCUUAGCUGAUCCAAAGUGGAAAGCAGUCAUGAAUGAAGAGAUGAAAUCAUUGCAGAAUAAUGAAACAUGAGAACUCGUAGAAUGUCCACCACAAAAGAAGCCAGUUGGGUGUUGUUGGAUCUAUACUGUGAAGUAUAAGGCAGAUGGUAGUAUUGAACGAUUUAAAGUAAGACUGGUAGCAAAAGGGUACACUCAAACUUAUGGAAUUGACUACACAGAGACAUUUUCACCUGUAACUAAGAUCAACACAGUUCGAGUAUUACUGUCUUUAGCUGCAAACCUAGAUUAGCCAUUACAACAGUUCGAUGUGAAAAAUGUCUUUCUGCAUGGCGAGUUAUCUGAAGAAGUAUAUAUGGAUCUUCCACCAAGAUGCAUGGUGUCAGAAAAACAAUGUCAGAAGGUGUGCAAAUUGAAGAAGUCAUUGUAUGGGUUGAAGCAAUCCCCGAGAGCAUGGUUUGGAAGGUUCACAAAAUCAAUGAGAGCUUUGGCUAUCGUCAAAGUAAUUCAGAUCACACUUUGUUCCUGAAAAAGCAACAUGAUAAGAUUACGACACUUAUUGUAUAUGUGGAUGGCAUGGUAGUUACAGGAAAUGAUCUUGAAGAAAGAAAAGUUUUGCAAAAUUAUCUAUUUAGAGAAUUUGAAAUGAAAGAUCUAAGUUUUCUGAAAUACUUUCUUGGGAUUGAAGUUUCUCGAUCAAGUGAAGGAAUUUUUCUGUCUCAAAGAAAGUAUGCCUUAAAUCUUUUAUAGGAGACUGGAAUGUCGGGAUGUCAACCUGUUAAUACACCAAUAGAAAAAGGUUUGAAAUUGUGUGUUGAGCCUAAUCAAGUAUCAACCGAUAAGGGAAAAUACCAGAGACUUGUGGGGAGAUUAAUGUACUUAGCUCAUAUAAGACCAGAUCUUGCUUAUGCAUUGAGUGUAGUGAGUCAAUACAUGCAUAAUCCUGGAGAGCAACAUAUGAAUGCAGUCAUGCGUAUUUUGAGGUAUUUGAAGAAUGCUCCUAGGAGGGGAAUUUUGUUCGCUAAAAAUAUUGAUCAUCAAAGUAUAGAAGUAUAUAUUGAUGUUGAUUAGGCCGGUGCAGUGGAUGAUAGACGAUCUACAUCUGGUUACUUUACCUUUGUAGGUGGUUAUCUUGUGACAUGGAAAAGUAAGAAGUAGAAUGUCGUCGCUUGUUCAAGUGCAGAAGCGGAAUUUAGAGGUAUGACUCUAGGACUUUGUGAGGCAUUAUGGCUAAGACUCCUCUUACAGGAUUUAGGUUACCUAUCUAGGCAACCAAUCUGAUUGUUUUGUGACAAUAAAGCUGCAUGUGACAUUGCUCAUAAUCCAGUACAACAUGAUCGUACAAAGCAUGUCGAGGUGGAUAAAUUCUUCACUAAGGAAAAGUUGGAUGAUAAGAUUGUGGAAUUGCCUAAGAUUCGAUCAGAAGAUCAAUUGGCCGAUAUCCUCACCAAAACUGUCUCAAGUCAAGUGUUCUCAAAAUUUUUAGAUAAGUUGGGCAUGUGUGACAUCUAUGUACCAACUUGAGGGGGAGUGUUGAGAUAUUAGGAAUGUUUUCCUUAUAUCAUUCUUUCCUUGUAUCAUUUAGUGUUGAGAUAUUAGGAAUGUUUAGAUAUUAGGAAAGUUGAGAUAUUAGAAAUAUUGAGAUAUUAGGAAAGUUGAGAUAUUAGGAUAUUAGUUGUUAUUUCCUUAUAUCAUUCUUUCUUUGUAUCAUUCUUUCCCAUUCUUAGUAUAUACUCUGUACAUGAACGAAUGAAAGAAUGAAUGAAAAAACUACCAUUUAUCAAUUUGAAGACUGGUUUCUGAAAAACUUUCAUCCUUCAAAGUUGUAGAACGGACGCCUAAUUAUAUUCAAACAAUGUGGACUUGUAAAAUGGGAAGCAGUUCUAUUCGACGUGUGAAAUCUAGUGAUGAUUACAAGAAGCUGUGGUGCCAUAAUUCAUCGGCUAUUUGUCAUAUUUGGUUCGGGCUUCAAUCAAGGAAUGCAUUUUCCUGCACCCCAUCCUCAAUGCCAACUUUGGUUGGCAUUAAGGGAAAUUUCGUGUGAACUUUUUUCACACAAAAACUGAAUCCAGUUGGAGGUUAGUUUAAAAUGGGACUUGAUACUGAUUCGGGUUGGCCAAGGCACAGGCUCGUAUCAACCUAUGAAGUUCAUCGACCACAAAGAUCGAAAAUGGAUUCGGUUGCAUUUCUUAACCUGGAAAUUCCUAUUCUAGCAAGGCAUAUCAAAACUGGCGGUUGACAGGUGUGAACAAUGUUGCGGAUGAAUCUUCACUAUGGAUUAUACCUAAAACAUUAUUUAGAAUUUUUUGUUUUUAUUUUUUUAUAUCAAUUCUUUUUUAUAGUGAGACUAAAUCACAUGUAAGAAUUUACAAUCUUAAAUAUCCUUUACUUCUAAUAAAAUCAAAGCUGGAAAUUACCAAACUAUUUCAAGGAAUAUACAAUGAAACUUUAGCUCAAAUUCUUUAUAAAUAUACUCAUUAAAUUAUGGUAAUUUUUUUUAGUAAAGAUAAAUAUAUAGAAAAUUAGCUAAUGAAAAGAUAGAAAGAAUAAAGUAACGCCACCAAGAUUUAAUGGAAAAAAAUAUCAAUAGAGAUAAAAAAUCAUUGGUCCACAAGUAAUCAAGAGCAUUUAUUAUGAAGAAAAACUUAGUAUAAAGUUUUACCUAAUUCAAGUCUACAAAUCCUUUUCGGACUACUUGAUGAACAUCUUUCAACUUCAACUUCAAACAUUUUUCUUCUUAAACACACUUGGACUUCACAUCACAACUCGAUCUUAGUUUUUUCUUGAAUUCACACAAAAAGAAAAUAUGGUUUUAUUCAAACCCAAAUCAACAAGAACAAAAGAGAUGAAUGGAAAAAAUUAAUUGACCAUUUUUCAAAAAACUUAAUCAAAACUCUAAUUUAGAAAUCGAAGUAAGGAAGAUUUUCUUGGCAACCAAACACUUCCAAUUUGGAUUGAAGAGAAAGAGNNNNNNNNNNNNNNNNNNNNNNNNNNNNNNNNNNNNNNNNNNNNNNNNNNNNNNNNNNNNNNNNNNNNNNNNNNNNNNNNNNNNNNNNNNNNNNNNNNNNUGAUCUAGUAACUGAAAAAUGAUUCAACAACAAAUAAAUUGAUCCUACAUAAAUUUGGAUCAAUCUUGGAACAUGGCACAAAAAUACUUAGCCAAAAAAAUGUUUGUCCAAGUCUUCCAAAACCAUUUUUAAAAGAUUUUCAUUAAUUUGAAAUUUUUGGUUAAUUUAAUUUCAUCCAUAUCACAACCUCAACUACAUAUCUUAACCUAAAAACACUUACAAUAAGUAGUUCGCGAAAGGAUUUAAUAGACCCAAGUUGGGAGAAUACUUAGAAGUUUUUGCCCUAAAAUUGCCAACCUAAGUAAAACACUCUCGAGUAUGUUUAGAGAUUUUCAUCCUUAUGAUUUUUAUAUUAUCUUUUAGAUUAAAUUUUAUUUGAUCUUUUGUGUUACGAAAUAAUUAUUUGUAACGGUCAUAUUUCAAAUUCAUAUCAAUGAUUGAACUAGAAACAUUAUUCAUUGAUGGUUUAAUGGUUAGAUCAAUGUAGGAAAAUUAUAAUUUUUAAUUUUAUCUAUAUUUCAAAAGUUAUAUAUCUUAUUAUUUUAUAAUUUUUUAAAAAUAUAUUAUAUUAUUUAACUUAUAUUAUUGUCAUACUUAUCAUUAUAAAAUUAAAUGUGAAGGUAAAUAUUUAUGUUUGUUUAUAUGUAUAAGUUAUAUAUAUAAUAACUUAUACUUAUGAUUGAGCCACAUGUAUGUAUGUGUGUAUUAUUUUAUAGCAAUAACUAAUAAAGUGAUCUCAUAGCUUAAUGAUUCAAUUAUUUUGUGGUCCCGAGUUUUCCUAAAGCAAAAAUUCUUUUUUUGCACCUUAUAAGCAAUCCCAUGUAUGAGAAUAUGAAGCUAAAAGGUUGUACAAACACAUCACAACAAAUACAAACCUAACUAGUUGGCGCAAUGGUAGGUUGCUAGCAUUAUUGGACCAAAAGUUGCAACUACCCAUUACCAUUUUGGGUCAAAUAAACUUGUUGAUUCUUAGAGAACUGACCAAUCUGCCCAGUUCAAACAAUUCAACAGCAGUCUAAUUCAUAAGCUAUUCAACUAAGCCAAUCGAAUUGGAGAGGUCAAUAGUCUAGUCUAUUCAGUGCAGUUUUCAAAACCUUAAUAUGCACAAAUAACUUUUAAUAAACUUGUGAUCCUUCUUCUUUACUUGAGAAAAAGAGAAUGUCAUGUUGAUUUCAUGACUUCUGAUUUCAAUGACUUCAAAUGAUAGUGUCAUUUUUCUCUAGCUUUCUAUAACUCAUGUUAUUUGGGAUGUUGUGGUUCAAACAUACUAUGAUGGAAUGAUGUUUCUCAUAUUUCUAAACUUAUGGUUAGGGCUAUGUAUUAAUUAAUGUAAGGUGAUCAUCUAAGAGGGUGGACGAACUAGGUGAUGGUCUCUUUUUAUAGUUUUAAUAAAUAAGAACUAGGAUGAAUGCAAGAGACAAUUUAAUUACUAAGAAAGCAAAUAUAAUGGAAGAGCAAUUACAUAUAGAAGUAAAUAGAGAUAACGAACAGAGAAAUGCAAGCAUGAACUUUUAUAGUAGCUUAAUGCAAUCUUACAUCCACUCACUUCAAACUUCAACAUUAAGAGUUCCACUAACAAUACUUCCAACCCAAGCCUUCAAGCUUUGCCCUUGGAUUGUGGUUUCAAGGGAUCCUUUACGACCAUAAGACUUUUAAAACCAAAGUCUCCAAACUAUAUCCCUUAGAUUAUGAUAUCAUUCUAAUGAACCCUCUAAAAAGAUACCAUACUCUUGAGUCCCCUAGUGAUCUUACUUUGAAAUUCUCACAAGAUAUAUAAAUGAAACAUAAUAAGAUCGUAGUUUGUAGUUUUGGCUUAAAUUGAUGCAAAGAAACUAUAACUAAGAGGUGCCCUAAGUUGAAAUGUAAGUUUUGAAGCAAAAUGCACUCAAACACAUAGCUUCUCAUCAAUAUAAGAAGUUUAGAGCCUUUAAACAAUAGUUAAAAGCCUAAACUUGUUGUUGGAAAAUUUGGGGCCAACUGAUCAUUCAACUAGUCAAAUUUGCUACUAGCCGCUAGGGAAUUGUAGGUGAUUGUUAGGCCAUAGGAGCUCCACCAAUUGCUCUAUCAAUUCAAUCAAUCCUUGACCGGUCUAGACUCUAACUCAAUAAGUUCAAUCUGCCUUUUAGACCGUCAUAAGACAUUUGGCCCCCUCAAUGAGUUGAACCAUUCCAACCUAGUUCCCAUAUAUCUCAAUCAAUUUGAAGAAAAUAUGCAAGGUUCAAUGUCGAAAUGAGUUUAGGAAAUAACAAAUAUUAACUUCCAUUUUUUGGAAUUUAAAAAAAAAAAAUCCACUUCCAAUAGCUAUAAUACUAUUUAAAAGCACUAAUUACAUUUGGAAUUGUUGGAAAUAAUGCAAAAAAAAAAAAAAAAAAAACCCUUAAAACUUGAAAAUAUGGAGAAAUAAAAAAUAAGGAGGAUACUAAGAAUGUGAGAUAUGUACCCUCCAACUUUUGUGAAUUUUUUUUUUUUUAAUUCUACUUGAAUAGAUAUAAUAUUAUUUAAAAUACUAGUUACACUUAAGAUUAAUGGAAAUUAUGCAUAAAAAAAUUAAAACUUGAAAAUACUUAAAAUUUGAGAAAGGUACAAAAAAUGUGAAAUUUCCCAUUUUUUGGAAAUUUUAAUUUUUUUUUCCAUUUCGAAUAGCUUUGAUAUUAUUUAUAAACACUAAUUACCCUUAGGAUUGCUGAAACUAUGCACACAAAAGAAAAAUAAUAAUUGGAAAUACUAAAAAAUUCGGGAAGCUUUGUGCCUUCUAAUUUUUGUAAAUUUUUUAAUUCUAAUUUUUUUUCAAUAGCUAUGAUAUUAUUUAUGCACACUAAUUACACCAUGGAUGGAAUUUAUGAAAAUAAAUUAAAAGGUUAAAAUACUUAAAAUUUCGAGAGGGUAAAUGUGGGAAAUCCCUUUUUAAUUUUAAUUAUCAAUUUUUCCACCUUUUUAAUUUUUUUUUCCACUUCUAAUGGCACUAAUAUUACUUAGGCAUUACACAUUUUUCAUAUUCUCCCCAUAUUUUUUAUACCUUCAAAAUGUUACAUGUUGAUCUUUUUUCGAUGGAACCUGCACAAGUCAAUGUACUCCCAAAAUUUGGACGAAGACGCGUCAUUUCUGGAAGCUUCGUGUUUACCUUCUAGUCCAAGACGCGUCAUUUCUGGUCUUUAUAAAUCCUAGCUGCAGAUCACUCACUGGCCAAAACACGCUAAGAAAAGGGAGGAAAGCAGAGUGUGGUUUCGAAUCUAGAUGUUGUAAGAUGUAUUUUUUCUUUUUAGGGGAAUUAAAAUCCAGGCUCAGAUUGAAUCCUGUUUUCUGACCAGUUAUCUCGAUUUCUUUUCUGUUUCCUACGACUUUCUUAGCUAGCAAACACAAAACUCCUUCUGAUUUUGGGGGUUGUGGUGAGGAGAUAUCGAUGGCUUUGGCGCUUGUUGGAGGGGCUGCUCUGGGAGCAGCAUUUCAGGGUUUGCUAACGGCGGUCAUAAAAGUAAGUAAAAAGUUUGCCGGGUUCCACUCCAUCCUCAAAAAACUCGAAGCCACACUCGAACGCAUAAAGCCAUAUAUCCAAGAGAUGGAAAGGUUGAACGACGAGUUGGAUCGUCCAAGGAAGGAAAUGGAGAAGUUCAUCCAAAUCUUACAAGAUGGAGAGAAGCUAAUCCAAGACUGCUCUAGCUGCUACUACCACCAGAGGAUAGGGUACGCCAAUAAAAUUAAAGCCCUCGAUGCCUCUCUUCUUAGAUUGUUUCAGGUGGAUGUGCACGCCCAAGUCAGUAGGGACGUCAAGGAGAUUCUGGCCAUUCUCAAAUCAAAUGGAUGCAAUUGGAAUUACAGAGGGGUUUCCGAUGAACAUGAAAACUUGGGUUCCUGCAACGCUCCUGGUCCACCGGAAUUUAUGGUGGGAUUAGAUGUGCCUCUCAAAGAAUUGAAGCGGUGGCUAUGUGAGGAUGGGGAAUCAAGGAUUGUGAUCAAGGCUCUUGGAGGAUGUGGGAAAACCACUUUGGCUAAAGAGCUUUGUCACGACAAUCAAGUCAGAGGUAUUCAUACAAAAUCUUUUUUUUUUUUUAAUAUACUUUUAGAUUGCUUCAUUUAUUUCCUUUUUUUUUUAAUCUUCUACUUAAUUUUAAUUUUUUUAUUUUUUAUUUUUAUAAUUGAACGCUUAAUUUUUUAAAAAAAAAUUAUACUUAUAUAAUAAUAUAAAAUAUAUUAUAAUAAAAAAUAAAGAAAUUUAAAAUUUAUUUCGAGCCAACCUUUUUAUCUUUUUUGUUAAUUUCUUUUAAAACUAUAAUAAAUAAAAUUUAAAGAUAAUAUAGUGAUUAAUAUUAUAUAAAAUUUAUAAAUAUCAAACUUAAUAUCUUAAAAAAUUUAAUGAUCAAUUAUAACAAUGAAUAUAAAAUUAAUACAUAAAAGCUUUAGAAAUUUAGAAAAUAAGAUAUGGUUAUUAAUUGUAAAAGAUUGAAAAAUUCACCCCUUAUCCUAAAAUUUUGGGAAGUAUAAGAUCUGACACAACCUAGACAUUGUUCCGCACCCAAACCCAUGUAACAUAUGAAAUCAACUCAUUGCUAAAUCACUUCAUUCUCCUAUUUUGAACAGAAUAUUUUAAGCACAUUUUGUAUGCCACGGUGUCAAGAUCGCCCAACCUAAUUGCCAUCAUUACGAAACUAUUUUGGGACGAGGAUGAACGAGUGCCAAAGUUUCAAAAUGAGGAAGAUGCAGCCAAUCAAAUGGAACUGAAACUGAAGAAGAAAGAAGAAUCCGGUGAUGUACUGUUGGUCCUAGAUGAUGUUUGGCGUGGAUCAGAAUCCCUCUUAGCCAAGUUCAAGUUCCGGACAUCAAAAUCCAAGGUCGUCGUUACAUCAAGAAAUGACUUUCCAGAAUUUGGGUCUACAUAUGACUUGAAAUCGUUGAAUGACGACGAUGCCAUGGCUCUUUUUCGUCACUCAGCAAUCCCCCAGAAUGGAAGCUGUUAUUUCACACCGAGUAAUGAUCUUGUGAAGAAGGUGGUUUGUCACUCUACAUUAAUAUAUCGCACCUGCACGUAUACUUCAUCUAUAUGCACUCAUUUUUUUUCUCUCCAAACCACAAGUGAUUUCAUUUGUUAGUGGUGCUCAACUGCAGAUAGUGGGGCACUGCAAGGGACUUCCACUGGCCCUGGAAGUCGUUGGCAGAUCACUCCAUGGGCGGCCUGUAGAGAUCUGGAGAAGCCGACUGAAGAAAUUAUCCGAAGGUCAAUCCGUUGUCGAUUCCGAAGCUGAUCUGCGUAAAUGUCUUCAAAGUAGCAUAGACGCCCUAAAUGACGAGGAUGUUAUGCUGAAGGAGUGUUUUAUGGACUUGGGCUCCUUUCCUGAAGACCAGAAAAUCCCUGCCACUGCUCUUAUAGACAUGUGGGCGGAAUUGUACAACCUAGAUAAAGACGGGAUUGAUGCCAUUGCCAACCUUCAC
rnacentral:lncRNA from 1 species